rnacentral:rRNA from 1 species
UACAGAGACUGCAAGCGUUAUUCGGAUUCACUGGGCGUAAAGGGUGCGCAGGCGGCCGUGUGUGUGAGGCGUGAAAGCCCGGGGCUUAACCCCGGAAUUGCACCUCAAACUACAUGGCUAGAGCAUUGGAGAGGGUAGCGGAAUUCACGGUGUAGCAGUGAAAUGCGUAGAUAUCGGGAGGAACACCAGUGGCGAAGGCGAUCACCUGGGGUUGUUCUGACGCUGAGGAGCGAAAGCUAGGGGAGCAAACGGG